rnacentral:rRNA from 1 species
ACGAACGCUGGCGGCGUGCUUCACCCCUGCAAGUCGAACGGAAAGGCCCUGCUUGCAGGGUACUCGAGUGGCGAACGGGUGAGUAACACGUGGGUGAUCUGCCCUGCACUUCGGGAUAAGCCUGGGAAACUGGGUCUAAUACCGGAUAGGAGCCAUUUUUAGUGUGAUGGUUGGAAAGUUUUUUCGGUGUAGGAUGAGCUCGCGGCCUAUCAGCUUGUUGGUGGGGUAAUGGCCUACCAAGGCGGCGACGGGUAGCCGGCCUGAGAGGGUGGACGGCCACAUUGGGACUGAGAUACGGCCCAGACUCCUACGGGAGGCAGCAGUGGGGAAUAUUGCACAAUGGGCGCAAGCCUGAUGCAGCGACGCCGCGUGGGGGAUGACGGCCUUCGGGUUGUAAACUCCUUUCGCUAGGGACGAAGCUUUUUGUGACGGUACCUAGAUAAGAAGCACCGGCUAACUACGUG